AGGGGCCUGUUGCACAAAAGUAGAAUUAAGACAUCCGGGAUAAAUGACUCAGCUGAGCUCAAUGAAGCCAAAACAUGUGCGUCCAGGCUUAAUUGGUUGCACAAAGACCAAGCCAGGAUGAGCAGACACGGAUUCAUUAAGCCAGGUGAAACCAAUCCUGGAUAGGUGCGCGCUCACGGCUCACUCAAAUAGACCCCGCCACAGAUCACAGAUUAACUGAUUUACCAUGGCAACUAGAGCCGCGUACUUUUCCCCGUCGGAAGCACAAAUCCUCAUGGAGGCAUACGAGGAGGUAAAAUAUAUAAUUAAGAAGAAAGGCAACACCGCCACAGUGAUAAAGCAAAGAGAAAAAGUGUGGCAAAGUAUUGCAGACCGCCUGAAUGCGUAAGUAGUGCACAAUUACACACUCACCGCUCCGCUGAAACAUCACAAUUACAAUUCAAAUAUUUAAUUCACAUCUCCAAAAAUGCAGUUGUACUGUAAUUAUGAAACGGUUAAAUUUUUAAUUGAAAUGCACUGCAGAUAUGAGUGAAAUUGUGUAAAGUAACUCCAUCACACUGUAUAAAGCUAUGAUACAUUUUUUGAUAUUUUUACUGAAAACAAGACAAAAAUACCAAGUAAUUUUUUGCAGUGUGACUCCAUUAAAUGUGUGUGUGUGUGUGUGUGUGUGUGUGUGUGUGUAGAUUAAACAUGAACGGGCCAAAACGGACAUGGCAGCAGGUCAAAAUCAAAUACAAGAACAUUCUGCAGAAUGCAGUGAAAAAGAAUACCCACAGACAAGGCACGGGUGGUGGGUCACCAAAGGCUGACCUUACCCCAGCAGAGGACAUGGCCUUGGAGCUAAAUAAAGGCAGGCCCGUCUUAGAGGGGAUCCCUGGGGGGAAAGAGACGAGCAUAGGUUCCUCCCAAGAUGCCACCCGCUUCAUUCAAGUGCCUGGCAGCACUGUGUUCCUGUUAGAGCCACCAGCACAAGCACCAGACGAUGCUGAUCCAGGUGAAGGCCCCAGUGCAGCAGCAACAGCACAUGAUGGAGACGAUGAUGAGGAGGAGACCAUCUCUCUGGAUUCCAGAAGGCAUGAGGACCCAGAUGCUAUACAGUGGGAAAACCAGCCUGGCAACAUAGUGCGUAUUAAUAAAAGGACAUCACAUCCUGCCAAAUUCCAGCUGCGCUAAUUGUAUUGUGUUCACAGAGCUCACAAGCUAUCAGAAAGUUGUAUGGCAACCACCUUCCCAGCAAUCAGUACAACCAAGUCAUCGUUAUAAGGCAUCGCCCUCUUUUGCCCACCCCCCCAGCACCAGGUGUGGCCACUAGCCUAUAUGAAGGCCCAAAAUUGUGUGUUCCUUUCUGCUCUGACAAUGGCAUGCCCAUUCGUGCGAGAUGUGGUGGAUGAAGAAGCACUUGUGCUGAGGAGAGCCUUCAGGCGAGAAAGGGUCUUCAGGGACCGGUUGGACCCACUGGCCUUCCCUGAUGACCAUCUAUAUGAAAGAUACAGGUUUUCUGCAGAUGGCAUCAGGUAUCUAUGCAGACUACUGGGUCCCAGGAUUAAGCACCGCACUGCACGGAGCCAUGCACUGAGUGUGGAGCAAAUGGUUUGUGUGGCCUUGCGCUUUUUUGCUAGUGGAGCCUUCCUGUACUCAGUGGGGGAUGCAGAACAGCUGAACAAGGCCACAAUUUGCCGCACAAUAAGGAGUGUGUGUCUGGCUAUCAAAGCAUUAGCAGAUGUCUUCAUCUCCUUCCCUGGCCACAGAAGACUCUGUGACAUCAAAGAGGAGUUCUAUAGGAUUGCAGGUAAGAGGAUCUACAAAUUACAGGACAACUGUUAACACAUAGUAGGAUACUCAUUACUU